rnacentral:tRNA from 1 species
GGCGGGGUAGCUCAGUCGGUAGAGCAGAGGNNAGUUCGAUUCUGGGCCCCGCCACCA